AGGCCGAAGGCACCGGCGCACCAGAUAUCGCGAGAUGCUCUGACUACUUCCGUUCUUUCCUUUUUUUUUUUUCCCCCAGUUGGUCGUCAAGGUGACGGGUGGCGGAGGCCUGAGGUGACCCUGACCUUGGAGCUGCGCCUACCUAAGGGUUGCGAGGCAGACAGGUUUCCUAGGCGGCAUCCAGAGCCCUGUUUGGGAAGGUUCCUUUCACUACACCAGCUCCCGACUCUGGCCUUGGAAAUUCCCCAGGGCGAGUGAGGGCACCGCGCUAGGGUCUCUUCAUUGGUCGCCUCACCUUGGCUUUUUUCUCCUCCCGCCGUCCCUCAUUGAUUGCCGUGGAGCUCCCGCCGUCACCUCUGACCACAGAAAUUGCCCAGGCAAAGGCCACUUAUUGCCAAACCACAGACGCCUGUGACCUCUGUACGGCAUUGGACGCAGCCGCUUUCUCGUUCUUGAUCUUCCUUGUCGCGGCCUUCUCUUUAUUCAUUUGGCUCCCAGGACACCAGUCUGCUAGAUCUCCUGUGACUCUUCUCUUCAGAGGACCGUUGCCGGUUGCUUCCUCUCCCAGCUGCUUGGAGUGUUGGUUCAUUGGAUUGCCGUCUGUCCUCUUUACAUAUUCUCCCUAAAAGCUGUCAAUGACCCCUAUUCAUCUACUGGUUAUAUUCAAGCUUCAGUGAGUUCAUUUUAGGAAACCUGCACUAAUAGAACCUGGAGACCCCCUUCAUCCACUAAUGCAGCCCGGAGCCACUGUCCACCUCCCUACUGCGGCAGGAGCUCACCUGACACAUGGAACCUCUACAUUGCACUGGAACACCUGUUUAUAGAUAUUUGUAUCUGCCACUAAAACUGGAAGCUCCUUAAAGGCCUGAGUUGCCCCUUGCUCAUCUGCACACUCCCAAUUCAGAGCACAAGGCCUUGGGCAGUAGGAUCUUCUAAGAAAUAUUUUUUGAGCUGAAUUGAAUUCAUUCACUCAUUUCCUUAUUCAUUCGUCCUUGGCAUCCUUAACAGCAGAACUGUUUUAGUAGUCCUUGCUGUGACAGGGCCCCUGCUUUCAGGAAGCCUCCUUCCAUGACCUCUCUUCAGUCCUCAUCUGAGCAGCAUAUCAGAUUGUGUGGUAAUUGUUUGUGUGACUCGGAUGUGACUGUGAGCUCCUUGAGAAUGGGGCCUGUGUCGUUUCCCUAUCCCUGACGACCAGCAGAGAGCCUAGUAUAUAUUGAUUUUCAAUGACUGCUUUUUGAAUGGAUGCGAGAAUGAAUGUGUAAAUGAUUGAUUGAGUUAGAGGAAACAAAGUCUCUGUUCUGGGGGAACUUUAUAGUGCAGUAUUUGUGUUGAGAAAGAAAAGGAAAAUUAACUUCACCGCAUCCCUAUGAUGUGUCACAGAUGGCACCAGGCAACGCAUGUAAUUUCACUUAUCCUCACAGCAAGUGAUUUUAGUAUGUUAAGUUUCAAAGAUUUGGAAACUGAGUCUCAGAGACGUUAGGUAACGUGGAAGAUGCACAAGGCUCUGCAUUGUGUAGAUUUAGAAACUGACAGACGCAUUUAUUGGAUUCAAGAGGGUUGUAAACUUUUGUAGAAGGCAGAGAGCAAAUUACGAAAGCAAUCAGAGGCAGAUGGUAGAGCGUGAAUUCUGGAGCCAGGCUGUCUGGGUUCAGAUUCCAGCUUUUUCCUAGUUUGUAUCUGUUAUUCUCUUUCCACGGUUCCUCUCCCAAUAUGAUGCUUUGCUCACUGCUGUAUCCCCAGCGCUAGAACCUUAUGUGACACAUAGUGUUUGUUUGAUGAGUAGAUGUUGGUUGAAUGAAUAAAAUAAAUGAAGGCUCUGGAGUUUUUAUAGUUUUUGGAGAAAAAUCAAUGCAAGUGGGGAAAAAAAAUUUUUAGGAACAUCACUACAAAAAAACCUCAGCAAUACACUCAAGAUAAAUUUAGUUCUACUCAAAAUGAUUAAAAAUAGAUUUCUCAAUGCUGGAGCAGGGAGUUACAAACAUGGAAAAAGCUUGAAAAAAUUUUUUUGCUGUUGGAUUGGAACUAAGAGUCUCAGUAUGAAUUCAUUGUAUUUAAUAGAGAGAGGGUGAUCUAGUGGUUAAGUAUCGGUCUUCCAGUGCAAGGAUCCCUGGUUGGGGAACUAAGAUGCCACUUGCCAUGGAGCAACUAAGCCCUCGGGCCAUUACCAGAGCAUCCUCGCCCCGCAAUGAAGAUCCCGUGUGCCGCAGCUAAGACCAGACACAGCAGAAUAAAUAUGUUUUUAAAAUAGAGAUAGAUAUAAAAGUGUGUGUUUCCUGAUCCUGUGUGUUUCCCAACCCUGUCUGCUGAGAGGGCCUAAAAACAAUGAUACACCAGUAGCAAUAAGCAAGCCUAGAUCUUGGCUUCUAAAUACCAUUCUCUAUUUAAAGAACCCAGGUCACCUUGGAAAAAUAACCAAGGCUUCAGAGUUCAAGCGGGAAAAUUCCAGAUGACCCUGGAAUCUGUUCUUGUAUCAUAAAGUAAGGAAGUCAUCAAAGGAUGAUAGUGUCAUGUCCAAAUAGUUUAGCAACUACAAACUGCCUAAAGAAUUGCUUGGUUCCUAAUUGGAACUCUGUACAAGCUAUUAUUACCAUCAGUAGAACUUCUCCCAGUUGUAUGGGGCAAAUUUCACAAAGAUAGAAGUUUGCCUUUCAAAUUGGUAAAGACAGUCUUGUCUUAGAGCAAUUUCACAGUAAGAGAGCCAAUUCCUUUUUACAUUGAAUAGAAAAAAACGUGGAAAAAAAGUUGAGUAGAUUUUAACCUCAACUGCUUAAUCAACUAAACAUAAGCUCUUUGUUUGGUUUACUAGGUUGUAAAUCCAGUUUCAUUAACAACACAAACUAAAAUAUUUUAUAGCACAGCACCUGCAUAAAUAAAAGUCUUUUAUAUUCCCGUAUUUUUUUUUCAGUUCCCCUUCAAUUAAAGACUAAUUCCUUUCUUAAAGGGCGAUUUGCAUUUUUUGUUUCAUAUAUUCUUUCUCUAAGAAGGGAAAUGGCAACCCACUCCAGUGUUCUUGCCUGGAGAAUCCCAGGGACGGGGGAGCCUGGUGGGCUGCCGUCUUUGGGGUUGCACAGUCAGACUCGACUGAAGCAACUUAGCAGCAGCAGCAGCACCUCAGAAGCCCUCUCUCUGGUGUGUCUUUUGCCAGGUCAUAUCCCCUCCUUCUCAGCCAGCAUAACUACUAUUCUGACUUCUAUGUUAUUCUCCCCUCCACCAGGCCCCACCAAGCAUGUGGGAUCUUAGUUCCCCAACCAGGGAUUGAACCUAUGACCCCUGCAGAGUCUUAACCACUAGGCCACCAGGGAAGUCCCUCCUUGCUUUUAAGUGAUAUAGUCUGAUUAGGCAUCCUUAAACAAUGUGAUUUAAUUUUGCCUAGUUUUGAACUUUACACAAAUAAAAUUAUACAGUCUGUA